rnacentral:rRNA from 1 species
GACGAACGCUGGCGGCGUGCUUAACACAUGCAAGUCGAACGGGAUUUAGUAGACAGAAGCUUCGGUGGAAGAUUACUAAUGAGAGUGGCGAACGGGUGAGUAACGCGUGAGCAACCUGCCUAUGACAGUGGGAUAGCCUCGGGAAACCGGGAUUAAUACCGCAUAAAAUCGUAGAAACACAUGUUUUAACGGUCAAAGAUUUAUCGGUCAUAGAUGGGCUCGCGUCUGAUUAGCUAGUUGGUGAGAUAACAGCCCACCAAGGCGACGAUCAGUAGCCGGUCUGAGAGGAUGAACGGCCACAUUGGAACUGAGACACGGUCCAAACUCCUACGGGAGGCAGCAGUGGGGAAUAUUGCACAAUGGGGGAAACCCUAAUGCAGCGACGCCGCGUGAACGAAGAAGGUAUUCGUAUCGUAAAGUUCUGUCCUAUGGGAAGAUAAUGACAGUACCAUAGAAGAAAGCUCCGGCUAAAUACGUGCCAGCAGCCGCGGUAAUACGUAUGGAGCGAGCGUUGUCCGGAAUUAUUGGGCGUAAAGGGUACGCAGGCGGUUUAAUAAGUCGAAUGUUAAAGAUCGGGGCUCAACCCCGUAAAGCAUUGGAAACUGAUAAACUUGAGUAGUGGAGAGGAAAGUGGAAUUCCUAGUGUAGUGGUGAAAUACGUAGAUAUUAGGAGGAAUACCAGUAGCGAAGGCGACUUUCUGGACACAAACUGACGCUGAGGUACGAAAGCGUGGGGAGCAAACAGG